UACGGGGGGGGCAAGCGUUGUUCGGAAUUACUGGGCGUAAAGGGCUCGUAGGCGGCCAACUAAGUCAGACGUGAAAUCCCUCGGCUUAACCGGGGAACUGCGUCUGAUACUGGAUGGCUAGAGGUUGGGAGAGGGAUGCGGAAUUCCAGGUGUAGCGGUGAAAUGCGUAAAUAUACGAAGGAACGCCAAAAGCGAAGGCAGCUCUCUGGGUCCCUACCGACGCUGGGGUGCGAAAGCAUGGGGAGCGAACAGG
rnacentral:rRNA from 1 species